rnacentral:sRNA from 1 species
UGGACUCUGAGCACGUCCGCACGUGACGG